ACACACACACACACACACACACACACACACACACGACUGGGAGGGUCCUCCUUUCUAAGACCAGGGAACCAGUUUCGCAACGUCUGCCUGCCUUCUCAGGAAUUCAUCACAAGGCGACCCGUCCACAACCACCACCCCCAAUAGCACAAUCGCCGAUGCCACGUUCAUUCAUAAUCUAGGACGGUCGAUGCUGCUUUUGCACUCAGCUGUGACUAAUGUGGACUAGUGUGUUGCGAAAACAAAACGGGAGUCGAGGGCAAGUGGGAGGAGAAAAGGUCUUGUUUGUUAAAAGCCACAAUUCUCCCCAUCACCCCAUCAAACUCUUGUUGGCUGGGAUCAAGUGUUUGGCUUGCUUUUGAUUUCCCCCCCCAAAAUGUGUUGCAGGGUGGGGGUCUCAAGAGUUUCAGGGACUCCUUUCUCCACAGCUGCCACCAUCACCUCUGGGCCAGAGGCUACAGCACACAAGGGUCUCCUACACCAGCCUCCCCUUUCUUUUGCAAGACACUGAUCAUCUGUUUAACACAGUCUCCAAGGAAGGGCUCCCCAUUCCAGCGGUGCAAUACUGGACCAUCUAUAAAGCAUCCUCAACCAGGUCCCUUGUUAUGUCUUGCUUGCAAAUUGUGGUGCCGGGGUUUUUUGGCGGGGGUGGGGGGACUGGCCGGGCAUCAGGUGAUAACGUCCUCUCAAAUGCUCCUGAGCAAAGGAUCUCAGCCAAUGGCAAUGCUUGAUCUACCACCCAAAGGUAGUUGUACUCCCAAGUCCCAUCAGGGCUGGCACUCUUACAUGUGCCACGUAAUACCCGUUCUGUAUCUGUAAGAAAGUGCACCUUGGGAACUCCCUGCCUCUUGAUUUCAGGCAGGGGCUGUUCGUUGUAUUCUUUUUGCCACCUGCU